AGAGUUUGAUCCUGGCUCAGGAUGAACGCUAGCGGCAGGCCUAACACAUGCAAGUCGAGGGGUAACAGGAAAGCUUGCUUUUGCUGACGACCGGCGCACGGGUGCGUAACGCGUAUGCAACCUACCUCAUACUGGAGCAUAGCCCUUGGAAACGGGGAUUAAUACUCCAUGGUAUCAUGAAUUCGCAUGUUUUCAUGAUUAAAGAAUUUCGGUAUGAGAUGGGCAUGCGUCCCAUUAGCUAGUUGGUGAGGUAACGGCUCACCAAGGCGACGAUGGGUAGGGGGCCUGAGAGGGUGGUCCCCCACACUGGUACUGAGACACGGACCAGACUCCUACGGGAGGCAGCAGUGAGGAAUAUUGGUCAAUGGAGGCAACUCUGAACCAGCCAUGCCGCGUGAAGGAUGACGGCCCUAUGGGUUGUAAACUUCUUUUAUAUGGGAAGAAACUUAUCUACGUGUAGAUAACUGACGAUACCAUACGAAUAAGGAUCGGCUAACUCCGUGCCAGCAGCCGCGGUAAUACGGAGGAUCCAAGCGUUAUCCGGAUUCAUUGGGUUUAAAGGGUCCGUAGGCGGAUUUUUAAGUCAGUGGUGAAAGCCGACAGCUCAACUGUCGAACUGCCAUUGAUACUGGAAAUCUUGAGUACAAAUGAAGUAGGCGGAAUGAGUCAUGUAGCGGUGAAAUGCAUAGAUAUGAC
rnacentral:rRNA from 1 species